UCCGGAGGAUGCAAUCGUUAUCCGGAAUUAUUGGGCGUAAAGCGUCCGCAGGUGGCUAGACAAGUCUGCUGUCAAAGACUGGAGCUCAACUCCGGGCAGGCGGUGGAAACUGUCGAGCUAGAGUACGGUAGGGGUAGAGGGAAUUCCCAGUGUAGCGGUGAAAUGCGUAGAGACUGGGAAGAACACCAGUGGCGAAGGCGCUCUACUGGGCCGUAACUGACGCUCAGGGACGAAAGCUAGGGGAGAGAAAGGG
rnacentral:rRNA from 1 species